AGUGCUGCUGCCGUAAGCUGCCGCCCCAGACACCGUCACAACCAUCUGCUUGGUGUUCAUAUGCUUCCAUGCACGGCCCCUGGAUCCCGCGCCAUUGCUGCCAUUGCCUUCAUCUUCAGCAGCGGAAGCAGUGGUGACAGCGGCAGCGGCACCUGCAUGCAAACUGGGCUGCAGCUGUGCGCUACUACGCCCUUUGUUAUAUGCCCAUAGUGCUGAGGGGUCUCUAAAAUCAUUAGCGCAAGCCACUGC
rnacentral:lncRNA from 1 species